rnacentral:misc_RNA from 1 species
GAUGAAGAACGCAGCGAAAUGCGAUAAGUAAUGUGAAUUGCAGAAUUCAGUGAAUCAUCGAAUCUUUGAACGCACAUUGCGCCCGCCAGUAUUCUGGCGGGCAUGCCUGUUCGAGCGUCAUUACAACCCUCAGGCCCCCGGGCCUGGCGUUGGGGAUCGGCGGAGCCCCCCGUGGGCACACGCCGUCCCCCAAAUGCAGUGGCGGUCCCGCCGCAGCUUCCAUCGCGUAGUAGCUAACACCUCGCGACGGGAGAGCGGCGCGGCCACGCCGUAAAACACCCAACUCUUCUGAAGUUGACCUCGAAUCAGGUAGGAAUACCCGCUGAACUUAAGCAUAUCAAUAAGCGGAGGA